GAAGAAUUCUCCAGGGUGUUGGCCAGUCCAUUCACUGAAAAGUCUUGUGUUAUCCUGUGAAAAAAGACGAAAUUUAAAAACAAGCCGAGGGAAGCAGAAGUCGAAAAAAACAGAGCGUAUCCAAGGAGAAGUGGUGUUAACCGUCAAAGCACUGUAGUACAGGUCAAUAGAAAAAAAACUAAAUCAACAACACCAGCAGUGCCAAAGAGAAACAGACAAACAGGAAGGCGAAUCAUGAGAUGGAAGAGCUCAAGAUGGAUCACCAUACUCACCGAUGAUGAGAGGAAAAGACACAUAUGGUUGAUAAUCAUCUUCGAACUUCUGGGACAUUUACUACUGUACAUUAUCUAUGUUUUUAUAAUGACCAGAUGUAUCAAAGAACUUUUUAUUAUGAUGGACAGAGUUUGGAAAGCUAUUUUGUUAGCACACUUGGGUCAAUUUCUGUGUGUUCUUACAGUAAACACAUACUUGGAACACUUUUGUUUUGUGUUUUGUAAUGUUAAAAAGUCAUUUCCGUGCAGUUUAUUGGUUUCGUAUCCUUCCAGGCAUUCACUUAGUAUUACGCAAU